rnacentral:piRNA from 1 species
UCCAUCUCUGAAAGUUAAGAAGGCUUGUGGA